rnacentral:rRNA from 1 species
GGAAAUUUGGGGAAUUCAGAGGAUGGAUUGGUGCCUUCGGGAACAUUGAGACAGGUGCUGCAUGGCUGUCGUCAGCUCGUGUCGUGAGAUGUUGGGUUAAGUCCCGUAACGAGCGCAACCCUUGUCCUUAGUUACCAGCACGUAAUGGUGGGCACUCUAAGGAGACUGCCGGUGACAAACCGGAGGAAGGGGGGGAUGACGUCAAGUCAUCAUGGCCCUUACGGCCUGGGCUACACACGUGCUACAAUGGUCGGUACAGAGGGUUGCCAASCCGCGAGGUGGAGCUAAUCCCAUAAAACCGAUCGUAGUCCGGAUCGCAGUCUGCAACUCGACUGCGUGAAGUCGGAAUCGCUAGUAAUCGCGAAUCAAAAUGUCGCGGGGAAUACGUUCCCGGGUCUUGUACACACAGAA